GAGAUUUCUAAGCGAGCUGCUAAAUCGCCCCUCCGGGCCUGAACUCCCGGACAUCUC
rnacentral:tRNA from 1 species